GUGUAAUGUGUUUUAAGAAACCUUAUCUUUGUUCUAUCUACUUCCUCUUAAGUGCUAUCAACGCUCUCGAGAGUUAAUUGUUAUUACCGUGUGUUGUGCAGAUCAUUACAAUCAUCCAAGCAGCAGCUGGUGCUGGCCGUACAAUGCUGAUAAGUGAUAGUGGAAACGUUUACUCGUGUGGGAAAGAUUCGUUCGGUGAAGCUGAAUACGGAGGGCAAGGGUCUAAUGUUCCUGGUCUUGUUGUCUAGUUCGUAUGUCAGGAUCACUCACUCUAUCUUCAAAGAACGUCAAGAAUGGCUCGGGAAAGGUGUGUGUGUGUGUUGGAGUGUGUGUUGGAGUGUCACGAGAUAUGUGUGUCUGUUGUAGUUGUUGUCUUGUGGCACAAACAGUUUAUAAAUCACAAGAGAAGUGUUGUUGUUGUUGUCUUGUGUCGCGGGUGAUUUAUAAAUCACAAGAGAAGUUGUAGUUGUUCUCUUGUGUCACAGACACUUUAUAAAUCACAAACACACUUGAUUCUCUUUAUAAAUCACAAUCAAUUCUUCUCCUUCUCUUCA